ACAAGAAAGAAAAUGCUGUCGGCAAAAUCUGAUGCAGCUGGCUGUUUGUUUUCUUGGAGGACCCAAAGAUAAUGAAAUGGUUGGACUGAAUAUUUCUAGGAUCCCUGCCAGCUCUAAAAUUCUUGGAUUUGGACACGAAAACAGGCAUGUGGACAUGAUGGCUGGAGCUACAGUGACCAUUCUUUGAUUGAGAGGCAGCUCUUUGGAAGGGAGGCAAGUGUUAAGCAAGGACGAACAGAAAGAUCAAAGGAGGCUGGGUCAUUGUUGCCACUACAGAGCUUCUGUACCAGCCCCAGAAUGCCUCUUCCUAAUCUUAGUGAUAUGAGGGGAAAGAAUGCCUUAACUUGUUUCAGCCAUUGCUUUUUUGGACUCUAUACAAAUAGUCAAAGCAGUGCCCAAUGUGGUGCUCCCUUCCCACAGCCUCUGAAAUGAAAGAAAAGGAUUAAAAGACAGAAGUGGAUAUUGAUAAGUUUUGGGGAGGGAGGUAGGACAGUUAAGGGAGAUUAAACUUGAUGGCUUCAACUUUUAGGAUGAAGUAAGAGGCAAUGUCUACAGAGACUGAGUGUGGUAGGGCUUGAAGAAAGGAAAUUUUUAAUCACUUUAAUGGUGUGCUAAAAUGAAAUACUGUACUAACUGCUGAUCUAAUGUACCUUGCCUACU